UACAGAGGUCCCCAGCGUUGUUCGGAUUCAUUGGGCGUAAAGGGUGCGUAGGCGGCGCGGUAAGUCGGGUGUGAAAUCUCGGAGCUUAACUCCGAAACUGCAUUCGAUACUGCCGUGCUUGAGGACUGGAGAGGAGACUGGAAUUUACGGUGUAGCGGUGAAAUGCGUAGAUAUCGUAAGGAAGACCAGUGGCGAAGGCGGGUCUCUGGACAGUUCCUGACGCUGAGGCACGAAGGCCAGGGGAGCAAACGGG
rnacentral:rRNA from 1 species